rnacentral:lncRNA from 1 species
GUACAGAAUUCCACAUCCACAUUUUUUCCCAAAAAGAGAAAAGAAAUACCCAAAGUCAUAAACAUGACUCCCUGUUCACAUCUCUUUCUCUCUGUAGUGAAAACUGACAGUGUAACAGCCAAGAGUGGUGGAGCAUGCCUGGAAUCAGCACUCUAGGAGGCCGAGGUGAAAGGAUCUCAAGUUCAAACCCAACAUGGGCAAUUCAGCAAGACCCUAUCUCCAAAAGAAGAAUGAAAAGAGCCAGGGACGUGGCUCAGUGCAAGGCCCUGGGUUCAAUCCCCAGCUCCACGGCAUUAAGGUGGCAUGGACCUCCUGGCUUUAGGGUGGGGAUUAAAGACAAUAAAGCAUUCGACUCACUGAAGACGCUGCCUAUCACCUAGGGAUGACAGAGGAUAGUCCACGCUUCUGUAAUUAUUGCUCUACCACGCCAGGGCUGCCAUGGGUGCAGGAGUUGGCAUGUGACCAAGAGCCCACAUUCUGGGGACAAGAGAGAGGCCCACGUUUAGAAGGACAGGAAGCCCUGCCCGACACGAGGGCGAGGGUGUUUAACACUUUCGUUCACCUUUUACAAAGCUGACUUGUUCAACGCAUGGUGGCACACACUAUAAUUCCAACAGUCUGGGAAGCUAAGGCCUGAAGAUCACAAGUUUGAAGCCAAGCUGGGCAACUUAGUGACUUCAGGAGACUACCUCAAUAUAAAAAAUAAAAAGGGCUGGGUAUGUACCUCACUGUGAAAGCUCUGGUUUCAAUCCUCAGCACUGAAAAAGAAAAGGAAAGAAAAGAAAAGAGACUAACUUUCUUUUAUGGGAACAAAAUGGUAAAUUUGUAUAAGUUGGUAAAAACAAUAAUCUUCAGCAUCCUAAAAUUUAGAAAGAGUUACAUGAAUUUACAAGAAGCAUGCAUGUGUAUUUAUAGACUCAAAAUACAUCAAAUAUAUUUAUUUGUAGACACUGUUAGAUAGAAUGAUGGAGUAUGCAGUGACUUGGGCUGAUGUUCCAGCCACCACACUGCUGGCGGGACCUUCAAAAAAAUCAGGAGAGAACAAGACAUUAGUCAGAUCCUCAAAUAGACCAAUUUUGGCUGCCUGAUAAGAAAAUCUCUCUGCUUUAACCUUUACAAAGGAAAGUAAUUUUGAAAUGGCUAGUCACUUUUGUGCUUUGUUUCUGUUUUCUUCAGUCCUUCUUUGCAUAUAAAGUUGUUACAACUUGGAUCUAAAAUGACCUCAAGGAUCUCACAUGUGUCCAAGGUGACUGGAUCCUGGGGCGCUGUGCUCCUCAGUGGCUCCAUCACGGGUAGUGAUUCUACAGCCAAAACCUGAAGGAGCCAGGUACGGUGGAGUCUGCGGAAAUGUGUCCUGUUCACUCCUGCACCGGGGCAUGAGUAAUCAUGCAGGGAAGGCACUUAUUUUCUCUCUGCACCAACUUCUAUAAAGUAUGCAUCAAAGUGCUGCACUGAGGACAAAUCAGGCAACAUAUUUGAACUAUAAAAGCAUAUUGUGGGGAUUGAGGAUUUACUAAAUCUGUAAGUGCAAUCAGUUUCUGAACUACUUGUGGUUAAAGACACUAACCUGGUGUGCAUCUGAGUCUGGUGACACCGUGUUGCUGGGCUCGUACUGAUGUUAAAGGGCUUGGUUUUGGAUGAGGUGCCCCUUGGUGACCUUGGUGUGCUCUGCUUGCAUGCAGGCGUAAGUAGCCCUUUGUGCCUGCCCAAACUCACUCUGUGUGGGCUGGGACCUCUUGGGGUGACCUUGGCAGCAUGGCCCAUCCACACUGCGGGAGCUGUGUGUUGUGGCUUCGAAGGAUGCAGCAAAAGGAGCCCCCACGUCUCCUGCCCACUUCCCAAGGGGCUUUCCCUCCCGAGACUCUGGUCCAGAUGUGUUCUGCAGCUGGAAGGACACACAUGGCCCACACAUAGAUGCUCUUGGCCUAAGAAACAGUAUUUCAAACUGGUGUUUGCCUUUGCUCCUUUCCUCUCUGCAGAGAAUGUCCUGAAGGAUUCCAGGGAGUGCUAAUGACGUCUCUUCCCUUCCUCCUGUCCAGCUUUCUUGGCCCAUGCAUAGCAGCCCCUGGCUCUUCCCUGCUGUUUGUGCAGCCUGGAUUUCCAGAGUAGAAACCUCACCUCAUCCCCUCCCCAUUUCUUGUGGUCUUGCAGAUUGAACCCAGGGCCUUCACACUGAGCUGCAUCCCCAGCCCUUUUUAGCUUCUAUUUUGAGACAGGAUCUUGCUAAGGUGCUAAGUUGCCGGGACUGUGUUUGAUCUUACAGUUCUCCUGCCUCAGCCUCCCACAGUGCUGGGAUGGCAGGCGUGCGCCACCACCUGGACCCAGCUGUUCUCCAGCGAUUACACUACUGCUGUCCCCUGAGCAAAGAGAACCAUGAAGAACCUCACAGGAGGUUCGCCACGGACAAACACAGCCAAGGCGGGACAGCUCUGCCUUCCCUCAUCCAGGGCUACUUCUGCCCCAGCCCCAGGAUGCAGGGACCUUCUCCAUCAUGCCAGGCUUCACACUGCCUCCACAUGGGUCAAGGCCAGGUGCUGUGUGGGAAGCAUCUGACCUCUGCUUCUCCUUGGGGCCACACCUUCUGUGACUCUCCAGGUCAUUGUCCAUUGCCAUAUGUAGCAGAGCUGGGAUUUGAAAGGCGCAUCAGGAGAGUCUGUGUCCAUGAACCCCAAACCACGCCACCUUCCUGGGAACUACAUUGUGUCAAUCAAGGUUUCACUGGCAGGCAGUGUAGUGGGGCACAGUGGGGAAAUUACCUUUCUGGCAUUGCCAAGUGGGUGACAUAUAAGACCAUGCAGCAUGGAACCAGAAGUGCAACUAUAGGACACAGAAACCAAGAACAGAGUGUGUACUUAAUUAGAUCACACGUGGUGCUAGGGUUUAGGUCUAGAAUCCCUCCCAAAAAGCUCCUGUGUUCAGAGCUGGAGCUUUUAGAAGGUGACAGAUCAUGGUUGCUGUGUUCAUCAGUGGAUCCAUCAUGGAUGCGUUCACAACUGAAUGUGCUGUAAGAGGUGGCCCUGGUUGGAGGAGGUCACUGGGGUGAGACCUGGAAAGGUGCAUUCCUGUCCCCAGCUCCUCCCUUCUCCUUGCUUCCAGGCCAUCACAAACUAAGCUAUUUCUGCCUUGGAGCGCUGACCAUGGACUGAUUCCUCAAUAUACUGUGAGCCAAAAUAAACUUCUCUUCGAUAAACUGUGGGUAUCUCUUCUCCCAGCGAUGAGAUCAACCCUAACCAGUUCUCAGGCUCUACAUGGUGAUGGGAAGGAGCUGCUGUCUCCAGGUGUAUUUCUUGGGGACACUGAUGAUGGAUUUCUGUGUUUUGCCAUCUGUAAUUGCUUCCCGUGGCAUGGGUCUGAGCCCUAAGAGUUCCCUGACUUCCACUUCCCACACUUCCAAAAGGGCAUCACACUCACUGUAUGGCUCAGGAAACUGGUUUACAAUCCUCUGUUUGCCACUAAUGAAGCUCUCUGGACAAGUUAUGUAAUCUCACUAACAUUCAGCUCCAUGUACACAACAGGCUACUCAGGGUAGCCCUAAGGUGACACUGAGAGGACUCUGAAGAGCAGCCCAUGUAGGAAGUUCAGCCAGCUCCUGCCAUUAGCACCAUGCCCAGUGGACAUUCACCGUCAUCUUGAAGGAUGAUUAAUGCUUUGUCAUUAUUUUCUCACCAAAACCUUUUUUAACAGGAAAAAAAGAAAAUUCCUGAGUAAAGCAAUCUCCUCAUUAAGACCUUACAUGUGCUGUGUGGACCGUAAAAGACCACACUGCCCUGCUUGAGAGUCAGCAAGGCUCUGGGUGGACCAUCCCACACCAGGCCACUGUCCCGAGGAGAAGCCACCCCAGCACCUCUCCACAUAGCCGUUGUUCACCUUAAGAGGUCUUUCCCACUGUUCUUCCAGUGGGAAAGUACGGCCCAAGCUUCAGGACCUGACAAGAGAGGUUAUUAUUGUCCUCAUCAUGGUACAAAUGACCAGACUCCAGUUAGCCCAAACUUGUUCCAAGGGUCAGACUUCACAAGUGACUUUCACAGGGCACUCACUUUACCCGUACUCUGCAGGAGUCUGAGUGAUCCUCUCUCGUCAGGGCUGUGACAUCAUUGCAAAUGUACAAGCGCUGGCCUGAGGCUUAAUGCAUUGCAGCCAUCCUGCAUUCUUAACUUAGGCUGGGGCUGCGGUUCCUCUGCCUAAAACAACACAGUCACGGGCCACAUGAAAGCAAUUUUCCCACCAGCACCUUCUUCUUAUUUUCCAGGCUCUCAGAGAACAGCCACCUCUCUCACCUUGCAGCCACCUCAGAUUGGAGCAUGGGACACAGCUGUCUGUGUGGCCCUUGGGGAAAAGAUGUGGCCCCUAGACUACUCACAGGACUGGGGGCCUCAGUGAACGCAGAGGGCAUCACAUGUGCCAGUGUGGCUGGGACUGGAUGCUCUAGACAUGCAGCCAACGGACACUGAGCUCCCACCAAGGGCCAGGGAAGCCCCUGAAGUGAGCCCAAGUAGGAGGACAAACGGAUCGGAUUUCUCUCCCGAAAGAUGACAAGCCACAUGGAGAACAAGCUGGUGGGAGAGAGAGAGCAAUCUUGAAUAUCAGGCUCAGUUGUCACGUAAGAGGGUGAAACCGUGCGAGAUGGGUUGUAAUGUUGGACCCACGCUGGCCCAUGGAUCCCGGUGAGAUGAAAAAUGUAAAGGGAGGAAUCUUAAUGUCAGUGGCACAGCCAGGACAUCACAACAGCUGGAAAUCAACACUAGCGGGGUCCCGGGCAGGCGGGGUGCAGGCGCCCUGUGACCUGUGUCUACCCUGUCCCUCUCCUGAGCAUUCUGGAAAUCUUUCCUGAGCCUAGGGAAAUUUUCAUUUGAUGAAUUAAUAAAAAGUACAUGCAUCUAGAAAAGACUUGGAUUUUUGAUCUUGGAGUUCUAUUUUUAAUAAUCAUGACUAAUGGUUGGUUUGUUUUUGAAGGAAGCCAUGCUUCAGUUUUCUUCAUUAAAAUUCUGCUUUUUCCUCUUUUUCCCCUUCUUAUCUCACUACCUCACCUGCAGUUCC